UGGGGAAUUUUCCGCAAUGGGCGAAAGCCUGACGGAGCAAUACCGCGUGAGGGAGGAAGGCUCUUGGGUUGUAAACCUCUUUUCUCAGGGAAGAAGUUCUGACGGUACCUGAGGAAUCAGCAUCGGCUAACUCCGUGCCAGCAGCCGCGGUAAUACGGAGGAUGCAAGCGUUAUCCGGAAUGAUUGGGCGUAAAGCGUCCGCAGGUGGCACGGCAAGUCUGCUGUCAAAGACUGGGGCUUAACCCCGGAAAGGCAGUGGAAACUGCUGAAGCUAGAGUAAGGUAGGGGCAGAGGGAAUUCCUGGUGUAGCGGUGAAAUGCGUAGAGAUCAGGAAGAACACCGGUGGCGAAAGCGCUCUGCUAGGCCAAAACUGACACUCAUGGACGAAAGCUAGGGGAGC
rnacentral:rRNA from 1 species